CUUUCCCUAUCGCAUUUCCAGUGUCGAUUGAAGCAGCAGUGACGACGGUUGGGUGUUGGUAUAGUGAUGGUGGUAGUAGUGGUAACUGUCGCCAAUGAUAAUUUAUGUUAAUAGGAGUUCAUACACCGGCUGGGUCGACUCCGAUUGCCAGGGCAGUCUGCAGGUCGUCGCGGCACUGUGCGGACGUUUAACUUUCUCGUAACGCAUCAAAAAGUCUAAUACACACAAAAUCGGAAGCUGCUGCUCGGUAUAUAGGAGUGAGCGAGAGAGAAAAAUUCACCCCCCCCCUCCCCUCUUCUCUCUUGCCGCAACAUCCCUCAACUUUUAAUAUUCGAAAUGGCGACGCCCAGACUUGCCCUACGGUUACUUUUCAGCGCUCGCUCUCGACGCAGACUCAGAUACUCACACGAGUUUCGGGGCGCAGACAACUCGAUGUACAGGUCUCAUUCGAAUCGGGAUAUAGUUCCUUUCAGACGUUCUUUUUAACUUAUUGAAAAAAAAAAAAAUUUUGUAAUUAAAUUCUUCACAAUUCGUGUUGCUUAAUUUAGAAGGAAAAAAAAAAUCACGAAACUAUUUUUCGAUAAUUAUAUUUGAAUACAUUAGUUGCAGUGGAAUUUUUUUCAUGGGAAGCGUAUAUAAAAUGGAACGGAUGGAGGGGAACUUUUGAUGAAGGGCAAGAGGAAGGGAAAAAUGCCGGCUGGCAAGCAGAUGGUUGCUCCGUUUAUUGGUUUAUUCUAUGUCCAACCCGACUAAAGUUCUUUUGUGUCGAAGAGAGAAGGAAAAAGAGAAAGAGAGAAGAAGAGAGCUUAACAGCAUCAACUCGAAACGACAAUGUUUCGCGCCAUCGUUGAAACGACCGAGGGAGAGAAGUUCAUUCACGACAAGAAAGAAAGAAGAGAAAAGAAGAGGUAAACUGCAAAUUGCUUAAGGAUCUUAGGAGGAAAAAUCACGAGCUCCAUUAUGAAGAACGUCGACGAAAAAGUUGAAAUAAUUUUUUUUUUCCUCAUAUAUACAAGAGAAGAAAUAAAAAUACGUCCAUAAUGGCGUCGUCUUUCGUUGGACGUCGAGACGGGAUCGAUAAAGAGGGGUGUAUGGUCUGCAAAAUUCAAACCUAAAAGGCAACCCCUUUUAUAUUUCACCCUCGUAAUCUUGCCACCAGUCGUUGAAAGCAUCUCGCACAAAAUGGAUUAACAUUCAUCCCAAAAAGGGCGCAAAUAUACAAACUCUAAGAUUAUGUGCAGAAACAAGCAGUAAAAUAUGUAUAAAAGAACAAAGGAUGGAAUCGUAUUAAGUUUAAAAAAGGAAAAAAAGAAAACGAAUAAAAAAUGAUUUUUUUUUGUAGGAGAAACAAAAAAUUGGUGAAAAGGAGAUAAAAAUACGUAUUGUUUGAAGAAAAGGAUUGAGGCUGAUGAAAAAGCACAGUGGCCAAGUAACCUGAACUAAUGCAGAGUGUAUUGGUGAUGUGUAUAUGACUGACAAAAUAGAAAUGAAAGAAGUUGUACCGCUAACAACAAUAAGAGGAGAACGCGUCCUUGCAGCAAUCAGCUUUGUCAUCCUUGAUCCGUUAACGCUCAGAUGGUUCGCGUAUCAAUCACUAUCGGUAGUUGAGACAGAUCGUUCAGGUGUAAAAGAUAAUCACAGCCCACCACGAAGAUAACCAGGAGAAUGAUACCGCACACACGCACAGCCUCCUUAAAAUUUGAUUGACGUAACAAGAUUUAUCGUCACGAAUUUUUCAAACCUGCAUUUUGUAAAAUUAGAGCAACGCCCAAUCAUUCAGAAAAAUGCAUAAUGAAAACCGUCGCUUAACAAGAAGACACUGGGCCAAGAAAGAAGUUAAAAAUCGAAAUGGAAAAGAAUGUGUGCGUGAGAGAAGGCCCAGUUAAUGCUCUACAUCUACCCUGUAGAUCCGAAUUUGUUUGAUAACAGGCGACAAAUUCGGUUCUAGAGAGGUUUGUGUGGUGCAUACAAUGCUACAAAGGUCUCGUACAAUGUACAAUGCUCUCAAGGCACAAAAGAAGAAAUAAAAGGGAGGAUUCUUCAAUUCUUCAAUUCAAGAAUGGCAACAACCCUUUUUUCGAACUAAACGAGUCGUUUUAAUCAAUUACGUUUACAUUAUUAUUAUGAAAUUAUAUAAUAAUUAUUAUAAUAGUAUUAUAUUUAUUAAUUAUAAAUAUAAUAAUAUAUAAUAAUAAUAUAUAAUAAUAAAUUAUAAUUAUAA